GCUGGGAGGAACAGGGUGGGGCAGCGGGAGGUGCCGCAAGCCGUGGCCUGCAGGGGAGGGCCCAUGCAGGGAGCGCGGACAGGCAGGCUGGGCCAGGCAGCAGGGCUGCCCGGGCAGUGACCCCACAGCAGAGCGAGUUUGGGGAGCCAGCUCUGAGCCUGCUUCCCGGGGACAUCGGGGUUGCACUGGGGGUGACCCGGGUGCCUUACCCCUGAGCCACACCCGGCCCUUUUUAUUUUUAAUGUUGAGACUUAGUCUCAAUAAGUCGCAGAGGCCGGCCUUGAACUCCUGAUCCCCCUGCCUCAGCCUCCUGGGUAGCUGGGGUGACAGGUGGCAGGCCUGGCGCACAGUGAGGGCUUUUUACAUAAGUAGGUCCUGAGGACUCCGGAACCCUCCGUCCUCCUGUUUGGCUGCACAGCUGCUGUUUCAUCCGGCCACCCGGCUGGCCCUGGCCCUCCGCUGCCCCACCAGGUGGCUGCAGCUGCGGGGGGGGCACUUGACCACUGUGGCCACCUCCGGGCUCACGGCAGGAAGCCGGGGUCUUUUAACAUGCAGGCCCUGGCCCCGCCCGCCUCCGGGCCUCUUGGCGCCAGCCGCCCGCUGCCCUCUGAGAGGCGCCUCUGUGGGCGGCUUGGGGGAUGGGAGCAGCUCUGAGGCCCACUGCCCCUGCUCGGCCUCUUCCAGGGCAGGAGGGUCGCACUGGCUGGUCUCUGGGCAGCGCUCAGGUCACCCCAGGCCUGGGGAGAGGCCUGGGCAGCAGGAGGGCCUCCCCUGGCCGCUGCCUCCCGUCUCCCAGCUCUGAGAGCGUGGCAGGCUCCUGGCCCUCUCUGGUGGCCUGGCCCUCUCUGGUGGCCUGGCCCUCUGGCAGUGGGCACACCUCCUUGAGAGAAGGCGCUGGAAGCCCAGAGGCAGCUGACCGGGAAGGAAGCCCCUAGGGCCGCAGCCACCCCCAGCACCCUGGCACCGAGGAGCCUUGUCCACGGUGGCCUGGCCAGCGGAUCGGGGCAGGGCCCUCUAAGUGCCAGCUGCCAGUAUGUGCCUGUCACGUUGGCGGGGAGGGAACAGGCCGUUCUUGGCUCACCAGCUGCCCCUUUGUCCCCAGGCGGAGGUGGGGGCUGUUGACCUGGUAACCAGCCUCUCCCCCAGUUAUUGAGGUGGAAAUCGGGGGCACCUGGGCCCAGGGGUCUGGCCCCCUCUUCGCCGCCUCCUGGCCUCCUGGGAAGGGUUAUUUCUGGACUGUGGGGAGGCGGUCACCCCUUGGGACUGGAAUGCCGGAGGUGGCUGUGGCGGGUGGG
rnacentral:lncRNA from 1 species